UAUUCUUAUUUAGGGUUCAAUUUAGUUUUUUUUUUUCUUUUUCAGAUUUUUUUUGGUGGUUUGUAUACUGUAGUUUGAUUUGUUAUUCAUUGUGAUUAUCUUUUUUGUUACUCACGUAUUGGUUCGGUUUUAUUUUAUUUUUCUUUAGAUUUAGGUUGUUUAUUUCCUAUUGUAAGUGAUUUCUCAAAAUACUAGGUUCUUUCCCUGUAACAUUCCCAAACCCUAGAAUAUAUUGCUCAUCUAAAGAGGAUUGUAUAAAGAAAUCAUCUUUUAGACUAGAAAAAACAAUUGUAUAUCAUCAGCUUAGUUAAAUCAGCAGUAUGUAUCAUUGGCUUUGUAUCUCCUUUUGCCAAUUUUGGUUUAUCUGAUGUUUAGUUGAAAGUGCUCCCUCCAUAUCCCCUUUAAGUAAAUCUAUGAUGGUUCUAAUUGUUUUGUUUAUUGGAUGUAGGUUUGUUUUUAUUAUUUUUUAAUCGAUCUAUUGGCUGUAGGUUCUAGACCAAAUCAUUUGAUAUGGUUCUAGACCACAUCGUGGCAGGUUUCUCAGAAAGACAGGAAAGCUUCAAGAGCUUAUAGGCCGUUGACGGCAAUAUCAUGCGUCAUUACAGUUCGAGUGUCUAGGACAUGGGAGAGUUGGACUUUAUGUCUACUGAUGACGUAACCAGUUUAAAUAUGGUUGUUGUUGAUGAAUAGAGAUAAAAUUAACAAGUCAUUAUCGGAAGGAAUCUUAUCUGGAAAUUUGAUAAGAAGGUCUACAAUGGGAGUUUGCACUCAAUGGAGAAUUACAAUUGUCCACUUCCUAACCCAACUUCUAGCCAGCUAACAGCAGAAAGCUAAUAUUCUUUAGGUGGAACACCUCUGUCAGUGCCUUGGAUGUUUAAAUUGUGUCCAAUAUUCCCGAAAAGAAUUUGUUUGUUUGAAGACCUGAAAUCAAAGAUGUUUUGGUGUAACAAGUGCAGUAUUAAAGCUAAUGUUUACUCAAUGUAUGAUCUCUUCAACUAUCAAACCAUUCAGGAGCCAAUAGGGACAUGAUUUCCUUCCAGACUUUAGACCCUUAAAAAACUUUCAACAAAUUCAUGGCUACAACUUCCCUUGCAAUCCAAUUAGCUCGAAAGCUGAUGAACGGUGAGCCAAGUCCGUCGUCACCAAUCCAUUGUAAGUUAUCCUAACAUCUACCUAUGUAUCGUAUGAUAUUUUAAUUGUUGCGUUACUUUUUCAGGAUAUAUAUGUUCUACCACUAUAAUGGCAAGAUCCAUCAGGUGUUUAUCGUGAACACUGUAACGAAAGAAUAUUUAAGAUUUACAGGAAACCAUAAGGUGUCCCAGGAAAAAUAAGGUGGCAUAUAUAAUGGUCAUAGUUUUACCCUAAUUUUUGUACAUAUAGCUGUAACCAUCUAUUUCUUCACAAUCCACUUCGAAAAUUUAAUAAAUGGAUGCAUGUAGGUGUACUUCUUCUUGACUGCCUAACAUGCAGCAAGAAACAACUAAGAGUUGGUGUAUAUAACUUAUCAUGCCACUGAGUUGGUCGACAUACUUCCCUCUACUCUCACGUAUAUCCUUUUUGUUAAUUCUCUAUAUAAGUUUCUAAAGUCUGGCUUAUUUUGAAAUUUGAUGAAUGUAUAAUAUUAAUUAGCUGGAGAAUGGCUCAUUCAAUAGCAGAAAUACGUUGUUACCUGUAUGGUUAUCCUCCGAUGGGAACUACUUAUUUCAACUUGGCAUCAGUUUGAGGAUUUUAAGGUCUUGGUUAGUGUAUGUUGUGUGGGUAAUAAAAUUUACAGGAAAAAACUACUUAUCUGAAUAGGGUAUAUUUCCCGUAUGGUUAUGUUUUUAUGGGAUUCGCUUAUCUCAAUCAUAUAGAUAAAUUCAUUAUUUCAUCUGAACUUGAACUUUUGGCCUUUUUUUAGGGGUUAUUGGUUUUAGAUUGAGAAGGUGUGAAAUGGUCUUUAUGCAAGUAGACGAGGUGGGCAUAUAUGGCCGGAAAAAAAUUAGAAUGAGCAGAGAAUUAUUGAAGUUUUCCAAGGUUCUGAGAAGUCAUCAGACGGUGUUUAAGUCAAAACAUAAUCUCCGGGAAGAAGCUCUUGGUGUGAUAUCAAACCUAAUCUCGGGGAUGUUGUUCACCGAUAUUGACAUUUCAAAACCCGAAGUGGCACGGAUUUGUGGCUUUAAAAUUUUUGCACCUAAGAUGUUUUAUUAACCAUCUUUGUUGAGCUCUAUUAUGAUCAGUACACAGAUGACCUAAAGUGGAGUAAAUUUGAGGCUUUCUAUGAUUGUCUGAUUAAGAUAAAAACAAUUGGAAUGUUGAAAAUGACAUACCUAUAUUUUUGUACCCAAUUAGAGAUUACCAGCCUAAUUUGUACUAUAAAACUAUCCUCACUUCUUCCAUAUUAUGUAUCUGAACAUUUAUUUGCUCAAUCAAUUUGCAUAAUAUUUACAUGUA